rnacentral:rRNA from 1 species
AGACGGGUGAGGAACACGUACGCAACCUCCCUUUAACUGGGGCACAACCUUGAGAAAUCAGGGCUAAUUCCCCAUAACAUUGCGAAAGGGCAUCCAAUUGCAAUUAAAGAUUCGUCGGUUAGAGAUGGGCGUGCGUUCGAUUAGCUAGUUGGUAAGGUAACGGCUUACCAAGGCAACGAUCGAUAGCUGGUGUGAGAGCACGACCAGCCACACGGGCACUGAGAUACGGGCCCGACUCCUACGGGAGGCAGCAGUAAGGAAUAUUGGUCAAUGGGCGAAAGCCUGAACCAGCCAUGCCGCGUGAAGGAUGAAGGUCCUCUGGAUUGUAAACUUCUUUUAUCUAUGAAUAAACGCCCGAUUUCUAUUGGGUUUGAAGGUAAUAGAUGAAUAAGCACCGGCUAACUCCGUGCCAGCAGCCGCGGUAAUACGGAGGGUGCAAGCGUUAUCCGGAUUCACUGGGUUUAAAGGGUGCGUAGGUUGAUAGGUAAGUCAGUGGUGAAAUACUCCGACUCAAUCGGAGAACUGCCGUUGAUACUAUUUAUCUUGAAUACGGUGGAGGCGGGCGGAAUGCGUCAUGUAGUGGUGAAAUACUUAGAUAUGGCGCAGAACACCCAUUGCGAAGGCAGCUCGCUACACCGGC